rnacentral:rRNA from 1 species
UACGGAGGUGGCAAGCGUUGUUCGGAAUUACUGGGCGUAAAGGGCGCGUAGGCGGCAUGGCAAGUCAGAUGUGAAAGCCCCGAGCUUAACUCGGGAAUUGCAUCUGAAACUGCUUUGCUUGAGUCCUGGAGGGGGUAGUGGAAUUCCCAGUGUAGCGGUGAAAUGCGUAGAUAUUGGGAGGAACACCUGCGGCGAAGGCGGCUACCUGGACAGUGACUGACGCUGAGGCGCGAAAGCUAGGGGAGCGAACGGG